GACGAACGCUGGCGGCGUGCUUAACACAUGCAAGUCGAACGGAGUACCCUUGAAGGAGUUUUCGGACAACGGAGAGGAAUACUUAGUGGCGGACUGGUGAGUAACGCGUGAGGAACCUGCCUUUCGGAGGGGGACAACAGUUGGAAACGACUGCUAAUACCGCAUGAUACAUUGAGACCGCAUGGUUUUAAUGUCAAAGAUUUAUCGCCGAAAGAUGGCCUCGCGUCUGAUUAGCUAGUUGGUGGGGUAACGGCUCACCAAGGCGACGAUCAGUAGCCGGACUGAGAGGUUGGCCGGCCACAUUGGGACUGAGAUACGGCCCAG
rnacentral:rRNA from 1 species